rnacentral:tRNA from 1 species
GGCCUUGUAGCUCAGUGCUUAGAGCACUGGCCUUAUAAACCAGAGCCCAAAACCU